UGCGCAGACUUAAUGUGAUCAAAGAGACGUCCGGCGGCUCCUCGUCGUCCUCCUGCUGCUCCGCUAAAGGAACAUGACUUCGCCCACCUGGAGCAGAUUUAACAGAAAAGAAAAAAAACAUCAAAGGCACAUUCCAUUACUUUGAUUACAAUGGUUGGAAAAAGAAAGAGUCCGUAACUUUACAGAAAUAAAUGCCAUGAAACUGAUGCUCUGCACACCGGGGCAUCAGUUGCAACUAGUGGUCCAUUAACAGAGGCUGUAGUCCUCGUUCAUUUAAACUCAGUCAGUCUCUCUCUCUCUCUCUCUCUCUCUCUCUCUCGUCUCUAAAAUAACGGAAUAAAACAUCCAAAAAUAAACCUAAAAUCCUGCACAGACUCAUCUGUUUGUUUUUCAAAGUUAAAACUAAAUAUUACUGUAGCAGCCAUUUUCUGGUUAUUUGUUGUUUUUGUUGUUUGUGAACACCAGGGGGGGCAGUGGGCACCUUGCCAAGCACAUGGGUUGAUCAGGAACCCUUAAAAUGUAGCAGGUGUGUCACUGUUGGGUGAUGCACCAAGAAAGGACACAAGUUUUUUUUUACCACAUGUCAAUGGGAUGCAGUUGGAAAUGUUUGUAUGUCUUAAUUAAAUGAAGAAACAAAAGAUCCAGACUCGACAUUAUUGAACUUAUUGCGUGCGUAAGGCCUCACUGGAACGGUGCAUCAGUAGCUGUUUGUUGAGCUCAACAGCCCGUUAAAGAUUCAACACUUCAACUUAAAUGUGAAUAACUGGCUCACCUGGCAGGAGGUGUCUGAAGUCUGUGACGUACUCCUCUGACCACUCCCGCUUCUUGUUGCAGGCCACCUCCAUCUCAAACGGCGUCACCACGGGUUUAUAAAACUCACUGGAGUCCAGCAGAGCGUUCUCAGGACAAGCCACCAACACGAAUAUGUCAAUUUCCAGAAAGUUAGCCAGCUUGGGCACGUUGAGUUUCCCCAUGGCGAACAUGUAGCUCUUCUUUCCGGCUCGGCGGAUCGUCUCCUUCAGCUGCUCAAUGACGCUCAGGUAGUCUGCUACGCCGAGCGUGCCGACCAGGAUGCCGACCACGUUAGCAUCUUUAGCUCGUUCUAUGGCGUAGUAUCUCUUCAUCAGAGCUCGGUUUAUACUCACUGACUCCGCCCUCCCCGUCAUCGUUAGCGGGUCAAAGGAAGAGAACAAGCAGCGGUUCCAAGUCAUCAUGAAGUUAGUGAGAGUGGUCCCCUCCCGCCCCACGUAGAACAUUUCAUAAUCCUUAAUGUUUGAAGCGCUCUUCAAGGAGAACCGCCGCCCAAACUGACAGACGACCUGACUGCCGUCCCUCUCCGACAUGCUGAUGAUGUCAUCCUGUCUUUUAAUCCAGCCGUGAAUGUAACACUGCUCCCCCUCCACGACGAGCUCCGAGACCACCAGGUUCGGAUAAUCCUGUGAGAGGAGGGUGAAGAGAUCGUCUGGAAAUAUAAAUAAAGACAAGAAUUCAAUCAGGGAUGUCAAACUGUUAAGUAUUUUAACCGUGAUUAAUCGAGAUUUUAAUUGUUAAUGGAAAUUUCUGGUUCCUGAAAACAAGAACUUACAUCAUUUUGUAUGUCUAAGACUUCUGCGUUUGUUGCCGUGGUAACGAAAAAGGGGGCAGAAGCUCCGUGUGUGAGCUCCAUGAUCUCCAUCUUUCACUCAUCUGAUGACACAGCUUACUCAUAGCAUGAACAUAGUUGACG